GUCGCUACACAAUGGAAAUAAGAUUAUGAAAAUAUGAUGACAAUGAAAAGUUGGUUUCCAUAACAAUGUAUAAUUUGUACUUUCUAAACCGUAGGGAGUUGUGAUUAUUUUGGAAAUACGUGCAACGUUUAAUGCACGUGGCGCAAAGGAAGGUCCUCGGAAAAGAUAAAGCUAUUAAACGUUUCAUACGUGCAAUAAGGAAGGUUUGAAAAUGUCGUGAUGAUGGAGAUCGUUUUUAAUGCUAAUCGUAUGGCGUGUAUGCAUCCGCCAGAUACGUCUAUUAUAAAUCGUUGACGUUCUACUAAAAUUACACUAUAUGAAGUCAAACUUCAAACUAAUAAUUACUACCUGAUAAAGUAGUGGAAAAAAAAUUCUAGUUGCGAAAAACCCAGAAAAUUGUUCAAGACAUGAAUCCGCCACAAAGGUAUAAGCAUUUAAAUUAAUGUUUGUUAUUCUCUAUUAGUU